rnacentral:rRNA from 1 species
UGGGGAAUAUUGCACAAUGGGCGCAAGCCUGAUGCAGCAACGCCGCGUGAGGGAUGACGGCCUUCGGGUUGUAAACCUCUUUUAGUAGGGAAGAAGCGAAAGUGACGGUACCUGCAGAAAAAGCACCGGCUAACUACGUGCCAGCAGCCGCGGUAAUACGUAGGGUGCGAGCGUUGUCCGGAAUUAUUGGGCGUAAAGAGCUCGUAGGCGGUCUGUCGCGUCUGCUGUGAAAACCCGAGGCUCAACCUCGGGCCUGCAGUGGGUACGGGCAGACUAGAGUGCGGUAGGGGAGAAUGGAAUUCCUGGUGUAGCGGUGGAAUGCGCAGAUAUCAGGAGGAACACCGAUGGCGAAGGCAGUUCUCUGGGCCGUAACUGACGCUGAGGAGCGAAAGCGUGGGGAGCGAACAGGAUUAGAUACCCUGGUAGUCCACGCCGUAAACGUUGGGCGCUAGAUGUGGGGCACCAUUCCACGGUUUCCGUGUCGCAGCUAACGCAUUAAGCGCCCCGCCUGGGGCAGUACGGCCGCAAGGCU